rnacentral:lncRNA from 1 species
AUGCAGUGUGUAGAAUAUUCACUGGAUUCAGUCAGCACAUUUCAAUGUGUGUGUGUGUGUGUAGGUUUGGACCCUGAUGAUUUUGAAUCAGAGGAAAAAUCAGACAAGAGUAAAAAUUCCAACAGCAUCCAAGGCGGAAAGUGGCAGCUUGGCUUUCAAGCAAUGUCCUUUGACCUCUACGCUAAAUAUGGCAACAACCGCACCCUGAGCCUGGUGAGCCCCAAGAAGCCAUACUAUCAGUGGCGUCUCCGUGUGCCGUCAGGUCACGUGGUUCAGCUGGUCGUCCUCACCCUCCACGGUGCCACACCGGGAAGCUGUACUGCCCACAAGCUGUCAGCCUAUGACUUCCUGCUGCCAUUGCAGAACAAGAUCAUCGCCCGGUGGUGUGGCCUGCCUGUUUCGAGUUCAUCCCCUGUCAUGAAGCUCACCUCCUCUGGGAACGUGAUGCUGGUUACCUUCUCCUUCAGCAGGCAGAGGGAUGGAGCGAUCUUUAAAGCCUACUUCCAGGCUAUCCCCAGACCAGGUCAUCACAUAAACACCUCCAGCAGUUUACAUCCUAAUUCCUAUGCAAAGUUGCAUAUUUACAUUAAUAGUCAUCACCUUGCAGGAUGUGGGGGGUCCAUUUCCUCGUGGAAUGGCUCCAUUUAUUCGCCGCACUACCCUUCCUUCUACCCUCCAAAUAUUGACUGCAUUUGGACAGUAAAGGUGAGUCAUGUGACUAAACGAAGAUGCAGAAUCAUAGCACUUUCUGACCUCCAUCUUCAUCUUCCCUGGCUUAACCAGGCACCAUUGCCUGGUUAUUUGAUCUCCAUGACGAUUGUGAUGAUGGACAUUCAGGACUCCCCAUCGUCGGAUGGCUGUGAGAAAGAUUGGCUGGACAUCGGAGGGGUCAAGUGA